rnacentral:misc_RNA from 1 species
UACGUAGGGUGCGAGCGUUAUUCGGAAUCAUUGGGCGUAAAGGGUGUGUAGGCGGCAUGACAAGUCAAUUGUUAAAUACCCCGGCCUAACUGGGGAAGAGCGGUAGAUACUGGCUGUGCUAGAGGAUGGAAGAGAGAAGUGGAAUUCUUGGAGUAGCGGUAAAAUGCGUAGAUCUCAAGAGGAACACCGAUGGCGAAGGCAGCUUCUUGGUCCAUUUCUGACGCUAAUGCACGAAAGCGUGGGGAGCAAACAGG